rnacentral:lncRNA from 1 species
AACAUAUCAUAUUAGUUUAAAAGGGUCUUAAGCCAAGUAAGACUGGAAAAAAAUAAGGGUCAAUUUAGGCCGUGCCACAUAUUUACAUUUAAAAAUGCAUAUUGAGGCUAUAAGAAAUAAAAAAUUGUGUCUUUUUUAUCAUUUCUAUACUCAUGUGACAUGAUACAACAAAUCUGAGCACAAAAAGGCUCUUGCAAUUAACUUUUCUUACAGAGAGUAUGGUCUGAUACAAAGAUUUUUGCCUUUUUAAUGAAAUACUUGAAUGCAAUUUUAGUCUCAACAGGCUUAUAUUUAAACCCCUUGCUAUCCUACAGAAGAAAAAAAAGAUAUUAUGUGAGAUGGAACAGGUACAAUAGAUAUUGUAAAGAGCUUUGGAUACAAAUUUAGUGAGGUCUUAAUUGUGGACUUCAAAUUUUAUGUACCAAGAACCCCACUUUUGACUUCAUCCAAACAGGGCGUUAGACAAGGGUCAUUUAUACAACACAUUUUGUACAUAUUGUCUGAGAUAAUCUUCUUUUCUGUAGAUUCUGAGUUCAUAAACAAGUAAAAGAACUAGAUAAAGGCAUAGAAACACAAGUAUUGACACAUGAAAACCUGUCAGAUAGAAAGUCAGGAUGCCAUGUAUGCAUCAAUAUUGAAAAAGCCUUAAAAUGCCUAUUUUGACCAUAAAAUGCCAAAAUUGGUCAUUUUUGCAGAAAUUCUAUAAAA